UGUACAACUGGUGAGACUCGAAAUGGAACUUGCUAUACCCAGGUGGAGUGCGAUAGUAGAGGAGGAACUUCCUUGGGCACUUGCGCGGGUGGUUUUGGCGUUUGUUGUGCUUUUGCCUUGAGUUGUGGAGGUAUGAGCUCCGAGAAUUGUACCUACAUUGUCCAACCUACCAGUACCAACCCAAUUAGCCCUUGUAUGUACACCAUUUGUCCUUGCAAUAAUAACAUUUGUCGCCUUCGGUUCGACUUUACGAGCUUCAACAUCAAUGGUCCUGUGACAGCUAGUGCAAAUUCUGAUGCUGCCGUAGGUGCACCUACUACGCAAGGUAAAUGAAAGGAUGGUCAUUCAUCACUACAUAUACUUGUAAUUUGAAAUCUUCAAGGGUCAAAUAUUCAAAUUAUU